rnacentral:rRNA from 1 species
GACGAACGCUGGCGGCGUGCCUAAUACAUGCAAGUAGGACGCAGACGCGAAAGUGAGAGUAACGCGUAGGUACCUACCUAUUAGAGGGGGGUAACUAUUGGAAACGAUAGCUAAUACCGCAUUCUAGUAGAUGGACCUGCGUUGUAUUAGCUAGUAGGUAGGGUAAUGGCCUACCAAGGCAACGAUACAUAGCCGACCUGAGAGGAUGAACGGCAAAACGUGGACUGAGACACGGCCCAGACUCCUACGGGAGGCAGCAGGAGGGAAUCUGCGGCAAUGGGGGGAACCCUGACCGAGCAACGCCGCGUGAGUGAAGAAGGUUUUCGGAUUGGAAAGCUCUGUUGUGAAGGAAGCGGUACCUAACUAGAAAGUGACGGCUAACUACGUGCCAGCAGCCGCGGUAAUUC